AUGAAUUAUGAGUUUAAUAGAUCCUCUUUAGCAGAAAGACGUAUAUUCCUUGCUCAUUAUCAGACAAUCACUUAUUCCCAAACCUCGUGUGGGACUAAUCAUUUUCAUUUACCAUCUCAUGGAAAACCCUUUUCGUUCUGCUUAGCCCUAUCGGGUAUUUUAGUGAUAGGUUCUGUAGGAACUGGACGAUCCUAUUUCGUCAAAUACCUAACGAAAAAUUACAAUUUUCCUUUCAUUAAGGUACGAGGGCUUCCUAUUCCACAAGAACGAAAGCACCUUUUCAUUCUUUCAUAUACUAGGGUUUUUUACUUGGAAAAGACAAUGUUCCAUACUAAAGGAUUCGGGUCCAUAACCACGAGUUCCCAUUCUCUUUGGGUAUGUCCACCAUAUAGACGUCGUAUGUGA
rnacentral:rRNA from 1 species